CAGUCGCCACGGUAACACCGAGGGUGCGAGCGUUAAUCGGAUUUACUGGGCGUAAAGCGUGCGUAGGCGGCUAAUUGAGUCGGAUGUGAAAUCCCCGAGCUUAACUUGGGAAUUGCAUUCGAUACUGGUUAGCUAGAGUGUGGGAGAGGAUGGUAGAAUUCCAGGUGUAGCGGUGAAAUGCGUAGAGAUCUGGAGGAAUACCGAUGGCGAAGGCAGCCAUCUGGCCUAACACUGACGCUGAGGUACGAAAGCAUGGGGAGCAAACAGGAUUAGAUACCCCCGUAGUCCCUGUCUCUUAUAC
rnacentral:rRNA from 1 species